UUUCAGAUGACGAGUCCCAAAUAGGACGAAAUGCGAAUCCUGGAU
rnacentral:hammerhead_ribozyme from 1 species